rnacentral:rRNA from 1 species
UCGAGAAUCUUCCGCAAUGGGCGAAAGCCUGACGGAGCGACGCCGCGUGUAGGAUGAAGGCCCUCGGGUUGUAAACUACUGUCACGGGUUAUGAAUGUGCAUAUGUUAACAGCGUGUGUAUUGACGUAAGCCCGAAAGGAAGCACCGGCUAACUCUGUGCCAGCAGCCGCGGUAAUACAGAGGGUGCAAACGUUGUUCGGAAUUACUGGGCAUAAAGCGCGCGUAGGCGGCGACGUAAGUGUAGGGUGAAAUCCCACGGCUCACCCGUGUGAAUUGCCCCGCAUACUGCGUUGCUCGAGUGUGGUAGGGGAGAGCGGAACUCCUGGUGGAGCGGUGAAAUGCGUAGAUAUCAGGAGGAACACCGGUGGCGUAGGCGGCUCUCUGGUCCAUAACUGACGCUGAAGUGCGAAAGCUAGGGUAGCGAACGGGAUUAGAUACCCUAGUAGUCCCUGAGCGGGCUGGCAAGGCGCAU